rnacentral:rRNA from 1 species
GACGAACGCUGGCGGCGUGCUUAACACAUGCAAGUCGAACGGUAAGGCCCUUCGGGGUACACGAGUGGCGAACGGGUGAGUAACACGUGGGUGAUCUGCCCUGCACUUCGGGAUAAGCCUGGGAAACUGGGUCUAAUACCGGAUAGGACCACUGCCUGCAUGGGUGGUGGUGGAAAGCUUUUGCGGUGUGGGAUGGGCCCGCGGCCUAUCAGCUUGUUGGUGGGGUGAUGGCCUAUCAAGGCGACGACGGGUAGCCGGCCUGUGAGGGUGACCGGCCACAGUGGGACUGAGAUACGGCCCAGACUCCUACGGGAGGCAGCAGUGGAGAAUAUUGCACAAUGGGCGCAAGCCUGAUGCAGCGACGCCGCGUGAGGGAUGACGGCCUUCGGGUUGUAAACCUCUUUCAGCACCGACGAAGCGCAAGUGACGGUAGGUGCAGAAGAAGGACCGGCCAACUACGUGCCAGCCGCCGCAGUAA